UGAACGCUGGCGGCGUGCCUAAUACAUGCACGUCGAGCGAACAGACGAGGAGCUUGCUCCUCUGACGUUAGCGGCGGACGGGUGAGUAACACGUGGAUAACCUACCUAUAAGACUGGGAUAACUUCGGGAAACCGGAGCUAAUACCGGAUAAUAUAUUGAACCGCAUGGUUCAAUAGUGAAAGACGGUUUUGCUGUCACUUAUAGAUGGAUCCGCGCCGCAUUAGCUAGUUGGUAAGGUAACGGCUUACCAAGGCGACGAUGCGUAGCCGACCUGAGAGGGUGAUCGGCCACACUGGAACUGAGACACGGUCCAGACUCCUACGGGAGGCAGCAGUAGGGAAUCUUCCGCAAUGGGCGAAAGCCUGACGGAGCAACGCCGCGUGAGUGAUGAAGGUCUUCGGAUCGUAAAACUCUGUUAUUAGGGAAGAACAAAUGUGUAAGUAACUAUGCACGUCUUGACGGUACCUAAUCAGAAAGCCACGGCUAACUACGUG
rnacentral:rRNA from 1 species